rnacentral:rRNA from 1 species
GACGAACGCUGGCGGCGUGCUUAACACAUGCAAGUCGAGCGAGGCCCCUCCUUCGGGAGGGUGUCCUAGCGGCGAACGGGUGAGUAACACGUGGGCAACCUGCCCUCAGCUCUGGGAUAACUCCGGGAAACCGGGGCUAAUACCGGAUACGACCUCCACGGGCAUCUGCGGAGGUGGAAAGUUUUUCGGCUGAGGAUGGGCCCGCGGCCUAUCAGCUAGGUGGUGGGGGAGGGGCCCACCAAGGGGACAACGGGUUGCCGGCCCUGGGAGGGGGACGGCCACCACGGGGCUUGGGAAGGGGCCCGGAUCCAACCGGGAGCAACGGGGGGGGAACUUUCGGAAUGGGGCGAAGGCUGACGGAAGGGCCGCCGGGGGGGGAAGGACGGCUUUGGGGUUUAAACCUUUUUCAGCAGGGACGAAGCGAAAGUGACGGUACCUGCAGAAGAAGCACCGGCCAACUACGUG